CGGGGGGAGCAAGCGUUGUUCGGAUUUACUGGGCGUAAAGGGCGUGUAGGCGGCCACCGCGAGUCGACUGUGAAAUCUCCGGGCUUAACUCGGAAAGGUCAGCCGAUACUGCGGGGCUAGAGUGCAGAAGGGGCAACUGGAAUUCUCGGUGUAGCGGUGAAAUGCGUAGAUAUCGAGAGGAACACCUGCGGCGAAGGCGGGUUGCUGGGCUGACACUGACGCUGAAACGCGAAAGCUAGGGGGAGCGAACGGGAUUAGAUACCCCGGUAGUCCUAGCCUUAAACGAUGAAUGCUUGGUGUCUGGGGUUUUAUAGUCCCCGGGUGCCGUCGCUAACGCUUUAAGCAUUCCGCCUGGGGAGUACGGUCGCAAGACUG
rnacentral:rRNA from 1 species